GGACCAAUACUGAUCUUGCUGUCAUCUUCUUUGGUGGCUUGAGAUGCCCAUCUUUUUUGAGCGGCAGCACCUAGAAUGGCAAAACUGAAGUUGGGUUUGGCAUUCAGGCUUCAGGCCAUGAGCCCAUGCUCCAGACCUAGAUGGAUGAUAACUGAAGAACGUAGAAACUUAUUGCUGGUGAACAGUACAUGUCAAAAUUAUGUAUCUCUUAUAACAGCGAGCAACCUAACGGUAAGAUCAUGAAGUUCAUCGAAUUCAUAAGAGUGGUGGGGUAAGAGGGAGACUUUGGGGAUGAGGAUUUGUAAGUAAGAAAAAAUAUAAGACGGUAUAGCUGACAAAUAUACUAUACUAGUUGUUGACAGGCAUGUGCAAAGAAGUUUUAAAGCUCUAACGCAAUCAUAUAUGGGUCAUCGAAAGUGUCCUUU